rnacentral:rRNA from 1 species
UACGUAGGGGGCAAGCGUUGUCCGGAAUCAUUGGGCGUAAAGAGCGUGUAGGCGGCUCGAUAAGUCCGCUCUGAAAGCCCGGGGCUCAACCCCGGGAGGCGGGCGGAUACUGUCGAGCUAGAGUCCGGAAGAGGCGAGUGGAAUUCCUGGUGUAGCGGUGAAAUGCGUAGAUAUCAGGAGGAACACCAGUGGCGAAGGCAGCUCGCUGGGACGGUACCGACGCUGAGACGCGAAAGCGUGGGGAGCAAACAGG